GGGAAAUGCGCUGCUAUACAUGCAGUCGAGCGGACAGAUGGGAGCUUGCUCCCUGAUGUUAGCGGCGGACGGGUGAGUAACACGUGGGUAACCUGCCUGUAAGACUGGGAUAACUCCGGGAAACCGGGGCUAAUACCGGAUGCUUGUUUGAACCGCAUGGUUCAAACAUAAAAGGUGGCUUCGGCUACCACUUACAGAUGGACCCGCGGCGCAUUAGCUAGUUGGUGAGGUAAUGGCUCACCAAGGCAACGAUGCGUAGCCGACCUGAGAGGGUGAUCGGCCACACUGGGACUGAGACACGGCCCAGACUCCUACGGGAGGCAGCAGUAGGGAAUCUUCCGCAAUGGACGAAAGUCUGACGGAGCAACGCCGCGUGAGUGAUGAAGGUUUUCGGAUCGUAAAGCUCUGUUGUUAGGGAAGAACAAGUACCGUUCGAAUAGGGCGGUACCUUGACGGUACCUAACCAGAAAGCCACGGCUAACUACGUGCCAGCAGCCGCGGUAAUACGUAGGUGGCAAGCGUUGUCCGGAAUUAUUGGGCGUAAAGGGCUCGCAGGCGGUUCCUUAAGUCUGAUGUGAAAGCCCCCGGCUCAACCGGGGAGGGUCAUUGGAAACUGGGGAACUUGAGUGCAGAAGAGGAGAGUGGAAUUCCACGUGUAGCGGUGAAAUGCGUAGAGAUGUGGAGGAACACCAGUGGCGAAGGCGACUCUCUGGUCUGUAACUGACGCUGAGGAGCGAAAGCGUGGGGAGCGAACAGGAUUAGAUACCCUGGUAGUCCACGCCGUAAACGAUGAGUGCUAAGUGUUAAGGGGGUUUCCGCCCCUUAGUGCUGCAGCUAACGCAUUAAGCACUCCGCCUGGGGAGUACGGUCGCAAGACUGAAACUCAAAGGAAUUGACGGGGGCCCGCACAAGCGGUGGAGCAUGUGGUUUAAUUCGAAGCAACGCGAAGAACCUUACCAGGUCUUGACAUCCUCUGACAAUCCUAGAGAUAGGACGUCUCCUUCGGGGGCAGAGUGACAGGUGGUGCAUGGUUGUCCUCACCUCCUGUCCUGAAAUGUUGGGUUAAGUCCCGCACCACCGCACCCUUGAUCUUAGUGCCAGCAUUCAGUUGGCACUCUAAGGUGACUGCCGGUGACAACCCGAAGAAAGUGGGGAUGACGUCAAUCAUCAUGCCCCUUAGGACCUGGCCUACCACGUGCUACAUGGACGGAAGAAAGGGACCGAAACCCCCAGGUUAACCCAUCCACAGAUCUGUUUCCAUUCGGAAGCGAGUCGGCACUCCAUGCUUGAACUGGAAACCUUGAUAACCGGAACACAUCGGCCGGGGAAAAGUUUCCGGGCUUGUGAAACCCCCUUCCCACGCAAAGUUUGUAACCCCAACCCGGAAGGAACCUUUGGGCCCGCCUCCAGGUCGAAAUGGGUGGACCGUCCACGUACCGACCAGACCCGAUCCUGUCCCGCUCACCAUCUGCUAAUAACCUC
rnacentral:rRNA from 1 species